rnacentral:rRNA from 1 species
GACGAACGCUGGCGGCGUGCUUAACACAUGCAAGUCGAACGGAAAGGCCCUGCUUUUGUGGGGUGCUCGAGUGGCGAACGGGUGAGUAACACGUGAGUAACCUGCCCUUGACUUUGGGAUAACUUCAGGAAACUGGGGCUAAUACCGGAUAGGAGCUCCUGCUGCUUGGUGGGGGUUGGAAAGUUUCGGCGGUUGGGGAUGGACUCGCGGCUUAUCAGCUUGUUGGUGGGGUAGUGGCUUAUCAAGGCUUUGACGGGUAGCCGGCCUGAGAGGGUGACCGGCCAGAUUGGGACUGAGAUACGGCCCAUACUCCUACGGGAGGCAGCAGUGGGGAAUAUUGCCCAAGGGGCGGAAGCCUGAUGCGGCAACGCCGCGGGCGGGAUGACGGCCUUCGGGUUGUAAACCGCUUUCGCCUGUGACGAGGCGUGAGUGACGGUAAUGGGUAAAGAAGCACCGGCUAACUACGUGCAAGCAGCCGCCGUAA